rnacentral:piRNA from 1 species
UCUGAAAAUUAGAUGGGCAUGGUGGCACA